rnacentral:rRNA from 1 species
ACGGGAGGCAGCAGUGGGGAAUAUUGGGCAAUGGGGGAAACCCUGACCCCGCAACGCCGCGUGAAGGAAGAAGGCCUUCGGGUUGUAAACUUCUUUUACCAGGGACGAAGAAUGACGGUACCUGGAGAAAAGCAACGGCUAACUACGUGCCAGCAGCCGCGGUAAUACGUAGGUUGCAAGUGUUGUCCGGAUUUACUGGGUGUAAAGGGCGUGUAGGCGGAGCUGCAAGUCAGAUGUGAAAUCCCGGGGCGCAACCCCGGAACUGCAUUUGAAACUGUAGCCCUUGAGUAUCGGAGAGGCAAGCGGAAUUCCUAGUGUAGCGGUGAAAUGCGUAGAUAUUAGGAGGAACACCAGUGGCGAAGGCGGCUUGCUGGACGACAACUGACGCUGAGGAGCGAAAGCGUGGGGAGCAAACAGGAUUAGAUACCCUGGUA